rnacentral:rRNA from 1 species
GGAUCAUUACAGAGUUAUCUAACUCCCAAAACCAUGUGAACUUACCUAUGUUGCCUCGGCGGGGGAGCCUACCCGGUACUUACCCUGUAGUUACCCGGGAGCGAGCUACCCGGUAGCUCGCUGCAGGCGACCCGCCGGCGGACAGUUAAACUCUUGUUUCUUGGUGGAAUCUCUGAGUAUUUAUACUUAAUAAGUUAAAACUUUCAACAACGGAUCUCUUGGUUCUGGCAUCGAUGAAGAACGCAGCGAAAUGCGAUAAGUAAUGUGAAUUGCAGAAUUCAGUGAAUCAUCGAAUCUUUGAACGCACAUUGCGCCCAUUAGCAUUCUAGUGGGCAUGCCUGUUCGAGCGUCAUUUCAACCCUCAAGCCCCAGUUGCUUGGUGUUGGGAGCUUGCUGUUAGCAGCUCCUUAAAGCUAUUGGCGGAGUCGUGCUGACCCUAAGCGUAGUAAUUUGUUCUCGCUUCUGGUGUGUUAGCGCUGGCGUUUAGCCAUUAACUUCUUAAUUUUCUAAUGGUUGACCUCGG